UGGGGAAUUUUGGACAAUGGGCGCAAGCCUGAUCCAGCCAUUCCGCGUGAGUGAAGAAGGCCUUCGGGUUGUAAAGCUCUUUCGCAAGGGAAGAAAACUUAGGCUCUAACAUAGCCUGAGGUUGACGGUACCUUGAUAAGAAGCACCGGCUAACUACGUGCCAGCAGCCGCGGUAAUACGUAGGGUGCGAGCGUUAAUCGGAAUUACUGGGCGUAAAGCGUGCGCAGGCGGUUUUGUAAGUCAGAUGUGAAAUCCCCGAGCUCAACUUGGGAACUGCGUUUGAAACUACAAGACUAGAAUAUGUCAGAGGGGGGUAGAAUUCCACGUGUAGCAGUGAAAUGCGUAGAGAUGUGGAGGAAUACCAAUGGCGAAGGCAGCCCCCUGGGAUAAUAUUGACGCUCAUGCACGAAAGCGUGGGGAGCAAACAG
rnacentral:rRNA from 1 species